rnacentral:misc_RNA from 1 species
GUCAGGUCCCACAAUUGCUGCUAUCUCUGUUGUGUUUGAUCAUGCAGAACAUGAGGAUGUUUACCAGACAUGUAUUGAUGGAUUCUUAGCUGUAGCCAAAAUUUCAGCAUGUCAUCAUCUUGAAGAUGUAUUGGAUGAUCUAGUUGUUUCUCUAUGUAAGUUCACAACCCUCUUGAAUCCAUCAUCUGUUGAAGAACCUGUGCUAGCCUUUGGUGAUGACACAAAAGCCAGGAUGGCGACUGUGACUGUUUUUACCAUUGCAAAUAGAUAUGGUGAUUAUAUUCGCACAGGUUGGAGAAAUAUUCUGGAUUGCAUUCUACGGUUGCACAAGCUUGGUCUUCUGCCAGCACGUGUAGCCAGUGAUGCCGCUGAUGAAUCUGAGGUUUCUGCUGACCCUGGGCAUGGGAAACCUAUCACAAAUUCUCUGUCUUCAGCUCAUAUGCAAUCCAUGGGAACUCCAAGACGAUCUUCUGGAUUGAUGGGUCGGUUUAGUCAGCUCUUAUCUCUUGACACUGAGGAGCCAAGAUCGCAACCCACUGAACAACAACUUGCUGCUCAUCAACGUACCCUGCAGACCAUCCAAAAAUGCCAUGUUGACAGCAUAUUUACAGAGAGUAAGUUCUUGCAAGCUGAAUCUUUAUUGCAGCUUGCACGAGCACUCAUCUGGGCAGCAGGGCGUCCCCAGAAAGGAAACAGCUCCCCAGAGGAUGAAGAUACUGCAGUUUUCUGCCUGGAGUUGCUGAUUGCAAUUACUCUGAACAACAGGGACAGGAUUGUUCUAUUGUGGCAGGGUGUUUAUGAGCACAUAGCUAACAUUGUUCAAUCAACCGUAAUGCCUUGUGCCUUAGUAGAGAAGGCUGUGUUUGGACUCCUCCGGAUUUGCCAGCGGCUGCUGCCAUACAAAGAGAACUUGGCUGAUGAACUUUUGAGGUCAUUGCAACUUGUUUUGAAACUUGAUGCCCGUGUUGCUGAUGCUUACUGUGAACAAAUUACACAGGAAGUAAGUCGCCUUGUGAAAGCAAACGCUACGCACAUCAGAUCUCUAAUGGGGUGGCGUACAAUUACAUCACUACUUUCCAUCACAGCUCGGCACCCUGAAGCUUCUGAAGCUGGAUUUGAGGCGUUGUUGUUCAUAAUGAGUGAUGGAGCUCACUUGUUACCUGCCAAUUAUGUCCUCUGUGUUGAUGCAGCCAGGCAGUUUGCAGAGUCUCGUGUGGCACAGGCAGAAAGGUCUGUGCGUGCACUAGAUCUAAUGGCAGGUUCUGUUGAUUGUUUAACUCGGUGGUCUCAUGAGGCUAAGGAAGCAAUGGAGGAGGAGGAAGCUGCAAAGUUGUCACAGGAUAUUGGGGAGAUGUGGCUGAGGCUUGUGCAGGGACUAAGAAAAGUUUGUUUGGAUCACAGAGAAGAUGUUAGAAACCAUGCACUUUUAUCAUUGCAAAAGUGCUUGACAGGAGUGGAUGGGAUCAAUCUGCCACAUGGUUUGUGGUUACAGUGUUUUGAUCUGGUAAUCUUUACGAUGCUUGAUGACUUGCUGGAAAUUGCUCAGGGACACUCCCAAAAAGAUUACAGAAACAUGGAUGGCACACUAAUAAUUGCUGUAAAGCUCCUUUCAAAAGUGUUUUUACAGUUACUACAUGAACUUGCACAGUUAACUACUUUCUGUAAAUUAUGGCUGGGGGUGCUCAGCCGAAUGGAAAAAUAUCUAAAAGUCAAAGUAAAAGGGAAGAAGAGUGAGAAGCUUCAGGAAGUAGUGCCUGAGCUGCUUAAGAACACCUUGCUAGUGAUGAAGACUAAGGGAGUACUGGUACAGAGGAGUGCCUUAGGUGGGGAUAGCUUGUGGGAGCUGACAUGGCUGCAUGUGAAUAACAUUGCUCCAUCUUUACAAUCUGAGGUGUUCCCUGAUCAACACUGGGAGCAGUCCCAGCAUAAGCAGGGCGAAACUGGUGGAAGUCUGGUGUCCGAUGAAACAGUUGCUGUUCCUUCAAAUGGAUCAUUACCUUCUGAAGGUUCUGGCACUGGGGGUUAACAUGUACACAGUGUUUUCAUCAUCCUGUAUUAUGUUUUUUUGACGCAUAUAGCUGAGAUUUCAUGUCAAGUCACCAGAAUUAACUGGGGUAGUGGUAGAGAUUGAGGAAAGUCCUGGUGUCAGCUCGGCUCAAUAGAAAGUAGUCAUCAUGGUAAAUGUCCUUGUUUAGAGAUAUGGAUUUGUGACCCUAUAUUCCUCCUCCUAUUAGUGCUCCUCGUCUCUGCUUCAAUUUCAUCUGGCCUUAGUUUGUUGUCGUUACCAAAAUGUGGAUUUCCCUGAAGAUGUUAUAUGGUUCUGUAGGAUCAUCAUGUAGGAUGUUUCUGCAGGUGAAUGAAUUCGACCCUCAUGAUUUUGUAUUUUGAAAAUUUGGAAGGGAAGAAUUGCUUCAUCUAUUGUGUAGGAUAUUUAAGCCUAUAAUUUGUAUUGGCUUGCUCAGUAAUGUACAGAACUACAAAUUUUAGACUUCUGUUUUAAUUAGUUUUUCCUCAGUAUGAUAAUGAAGAGCAGUGUUUUGGCUGGAGACUUAAUCUAAAUCAAAUCAAAUGACUUGGGAACAAAAAGUGCCUAGUGGUAAAAAUGCCAUCUUGCGACUAUAUUCCAUGCUUCUAUGCAAUUUUUGUUUUAUUAUUUGGUUUUUAUAUUUUAAUG